CCUAAUUCCAAUACAAAGUGUAACAAUUAGUACAUUAAUUUCGAAAGUAUAAACGUAUUUACAAUUAAAACCUACCCCAUUCGGAAUAAAUGUAAUCUAACAGCUGGUCGUGCACUAGUGACUCGAUAAAAACCAGACCAAGGCCAAACGCAUCCCAUGACCGAAGUGAAGCCACGCGCUCAUAAAACAAUUUAGUAUUCUGGGCAAAUAAUUUAACACUGCAAAACUAUAUACUUACUAUUGUGUCAAAAUAGUUUAUUUAUACAUACCUGCAUCGCCUAGUAUAAUAAAUUUAUAAUUGUUGUCACAAUCGUGCGCCAUUGUUGCUUGCUAUUUGUUUGUAAUUGUAUGCCGGCUUCCGGCUUUUUGAGCUGUUAAAUAUUUUCUCCACUUCAGUUACGCUAUAAUAUCACGCAUUCCAACUUAAACAAGUGCCCGAAAUUGCGAUAAAUACUGUAGUUUAGUGCAGGGUACGUUUUGAAAAACACGCAUCGACAUUGCACUUGUAUUGAAAAUGUUUUCGCGGAAGAAUCGUGUCUCGUGAUUUUCUGUUUGUU